CGUAGGGGGCAAGCGUUGUCCGGAAUCAUUGGGCGUAAAGAGCGUGUAGGCGGCCCGGUAAGUCCGCUGUGAAAGUCCAGGGCUCAACCCUGGAAAGCCGGUGGAUACUGUCGGGCUCGAGUCCGGAAGAGGUGAGUGGAAUUCCUGGUGUAGCGGUGAAAUGCGCAGAUAUCAGGAGGAACACCAAUGGCGAAGGCAGCUCACUGGGACGGUACUGACGCUGAGACGCGAAAGCGUGGGGAGCAAACAGGAUUAGAUACCCUGGUAGUCCACGCCGUAAACGAUGGUCACUAGGUGUGGGGGGUGUCGACUCCCUCCGUGCCGAAGCUAACGCAUUAAGUGACCCGCCUGGGGAGUACGGCCGCAAGGCUA
rnacentral:rRNA from 1 species